GACGAACGCUUGCGGCGUGCUUAACACAUGCAAGUCGAACGGAAAGGCCCUGCUUUUGUGGGGUGCUCGAGUGGCGAACGGGUGAGUAACACGCGAGUAACCUGCCCUUGACUUUGGGAUAACUUCAGGAAACUGGGGCUAAUACCGGAUAGGAGCUCCUGCUGCAUGGUGGGGGUUGGAAAGUUUCGGCGGUUGGGGAUGGACUCGCGGCUUAUCAGCUUGUUGGGGGGGUAGUGGCUUACCAAGGCUUUGACGGGUAGCCGGCCUGAGAGGGUGACCGGCCACAUUGGGACUGAGAUACGGCCCAGACUCCUACGGGAGGCAGCAGUGGGGAAUAUUGCGCAAUGGGCGGAAGCCUGAUGCAGCAACGCCGCGUGCGGGAUGACGGCCUUCGGGUUGUAAACCGCUUUCGCCUGUGACGAAGCGUGAGUGACGGUAAUGGGUAAAGAAGCACCGGCUAACUACGUGCCAGCAGCCGCGGUGAUACGUAGGGUGCGAGCGUUGUCCGGAUUUAUUGGGCGUAAAGGGCUCGUAGGUGGUUGAUCGCGUCGGAAGUGUAAUCUUGGGGCUUAACCCUGAGCGUGCUUUCGAUACGGGUUGACUUGAGGAAGGUAGGGGAGAAUGGAAUUCCUGGUGGAGCGGUGGAAUGCGCAGAUAUCAGGAGGAACACCAGUGGCGAAGGCGGUUCUCUGGGCCUUUCCUGACGCUGAGGAGCGAAAGCGUGGGGAGCGAACAGGCUUAGAUACCCUGGUAGUCCACGCUGUAAACGGUGGGUACUAGGUGUGGGGUCCAUUCCACGGGUUCCGUGCCGUAGCUAACGCUUUAAGUACCCCGCCUGGGGAGUACGGCCGCAAGGCUAAAACUCAAAGGAAUUGACGGGGCCCCGCACAAGCGGCGGAGCAUGCGGAUUAAUUCGAUGCAACGCGUAGAACCUUACCUGGGUUUGACAUGGAUCGGGAGUGCUCAGAGAUGGGUGUGCCUCUUUUGGGGUCGGUUCACAGGUGGUGCAUGGCUGUCGUCAGCUCGUGUCGUGAGAUGUUGGGUUAAGUCCCGCAACGAGCGCAACCCUUGUUCACUGUUGCCAGCACGUUAUGGUGGGGACUCAGUGGAGACCGCCGGGGUCAACUCGGUGGAAGGUGGGGAUGACGUCAAGUCAUCAUGCCCCUUAUGUCCAGGGCUUCACGCAUGCUACAAUGGCUGGUACAGAGAGUGGCGAGCCUGUGAGGGUGAGCGAAUCUCGGAAAGCCGGUCUCAGUUCGGAUUGGGGUCUGCAACUCGACCUCAUGAAGUCGGAGUCGCUAGUAAUCGCAGAUCAGCAACGCUGCGGUGAAUACGUUCCCGGG
rnacentral:rRNA from 1 species